CGAGCGGGGCCCGGCGGCGGGCGGAGGGGGCGGGGGCGGCGGGGGAAAGGGAGCGGGGCCGCGGGGGGCGGGCGCACCGGGCCGGGAGCGGCGGGGGGCGCGGGGAGCCGCGCCUGGAAGAGCACAUUGUGGAGGGCCGGGGAGGGCCCUUCCUCCGGGAGGAAGAGACAAUGUCCAGGGCUGGGCGCCUGCUGGAGAGCCGGGAGAAUGCACGGCCGGCGGCACGGCUCGGUACGGCUCGAUGAUUCUCCCUAUCACACCAUGGGAGCAGAAGACCCCACUCUGCCAGCAGCAGCAUCGCUCAGCGCUGCAGCCUCUGUCUGAACGUUGGAUCUGGCUGUUGUUAAAUCAGCAGCUCUUCAGGGCAACUCCUUGACAGCAACGCUGCCCACCGAGCGCAGCCAUGCCUCCAGCACUGCCCUGCGAAGGGCACUGUGCCACCAGGUCCCUGAGAUGGCUGGGGAUGCUGUGACCUGGCUCUAGGCUGGGGAUGCUGCAAGCUGGCUCUGGGCAGGCAGCAUGGGGUGCCCUGGCAUCUCCCAGGCAGGGCCCUGACGACAGCGGGUCAGUGACCUCCUGCCUGGUUGGGGCCCGUGGCAAUGGGCACCAGCAUCUCGGCAUCCCUCUCCCCAGCCCAUUUUAUGUCUCUCACUCUUUAGUGGUUACGAAGGAAAUUUUGAUUAAAUAAACCAAGUGUAACGGAUUCAGUGGCGGAGCCUGCGGUAGGCCGGUGCCAGAGCCGAGGAUGGGAACUGCCACAUUCAUGUUUAUGGCUUGUUAGUGCGGAUGCCCAAUUAUGUUUUCUACUCCA